AACAAUAAGCACUUAUUAAGCAACUAUGGUGUCCUAGGUGCUGAGCAGUGUACUGGCCACGCAUUGCCUCGUUUCACCCUCAUGCCACCCUAUGAACGAAGAGCUACCGCUAGCUCCAUUUUACAGACAAGGGAAACCAAGACACAGAGAGCAUAAGUCAAAUUCCAGAAGGCCCACAGGAGGAAUCUGUGGCUUGGGAACUCUUCAAGAAAUGCUGACAUGAAGUUUGAGAAGUGCUGGUUCAGAGAGGCUUGAAAAAGCACCUGGGCUUUAUUUGGAAGCGGAGCAGCAGCUGAUGCCUCCCUAAAUGUUCUGCAGAUCCCAAAGCAAAGACCUCUGAGACUACCGCCCCACCCUGCCCAGCCACGGCUCACUCCUGCGGUGGGCUCUGCCAGAGGAGGAAGAGCGGGACCCUCAAGCUCUCUCUGGGUCCUCAGCUCCAGGAAAAGACUCAGAAUGGAUGGAAGUUGUUUAUAAAUUCUCCUCUGCUGCAUACUGUUAAGAAGGGGAAAGAGGAGUGCUGGACUCACCCUGAAUUCUUAUCUUGCGCGAGAUCCAAGAACUGUCUCUUGGGGUCUGUGCUGGGACCGCUUUCCUGUAACAUAUUUCUGGCGUCCACAGAAGGGACUAUAGUGAGGAAACCACUGACUUUGGGCUAUGUUCUGUCUCUCAGAUCACUCCCUGCAGGUGAAGCCAACUGCCAUGUUGUGCAGAGGCUCCAGCCUCCCGUGGAGAGGCCCACACGGAGAGGAUCUGCCAUCGCCAGCAGGAGCUUUCCAGCCAUAUGAUUUCUGGCAUGGGAGACACUGAACCAUAACCACCCAGCUAAGCUGCCCCUGGAUUCCUGACCUGCAAGACACGAAGUGAGAUAAUAAAUGGUGUUGUUGUAAGCCUUA